rnacentral:rRNA from 1 species
AAUAGAUACCCAGGUAGUCCACGCCGUAAACGAUGAGUGCUAAGUGUUAGAGGGUUUCCGCCCUUUAGUGCUGCAGCUAACGCAUUAAGCACUCCGCCUGGGGGAGUACGGCCGCAAGGCUGAAACUCAAAGGAAUUGACGGGGGCCCGCACAAGCGGUGGAGCAUGUGGUUUAAUUCGAAGCAACGCGAAGAACCUUACCAGGUCUUGACAUCCUCUGCCAACCCUAGAGAUAGGGCGUUCCCCUUCGGGGGACAGAGUGACAGGUGGUGCAUGGUUGUCGUCAGCUCGUGUCGUGAGAUGUUGGGUUAAGUCCCGCAACGAGCGCAACCCUUGAUCUUACGUUGCCAGCAUUCAGUUGGGCACUCUAAGGUGACUGCCGGUGACAAACCGGAGGAAGGUGGGGAUGACGUCAAAUCAUCAUGCCCCUUAUGGACCUGGGCUACACACGUGCUACAAUGGAUGGUACAAAGAGCUGCGAACCCGCGAGGGUAAGCCAAUCUCAUAAAGCCAUUCUCAGUUCGGAUUGU